UUCCCAGACUCCUACGGGAGGCAGCAGUGGGGAAUAUUGCACAAUGGGGGGAACCCUGAUGCAGCGACGCCGCGUGGGUGAAGGAGCACCUCGGUGCGUAAAGCCCUAUCGGCAGGGAAGAAAAGCGAACAGGUUCGCCUGGACGGUACCUGACUAAGAAGCCCCGGCUAACUCCGUGCCAGCAGCCGCGGUAAUACGGAGGAUGCGAGCGUUAUCCGGAUUUAUUGGGUUUAAAGGGCGCGCAGGCGGCACGGCAAGCCGGCGGUCAAAUCGCGGGGCUCAACCCCGCCCAGCCGUCGGAACUGCCGGGCUAGAGUGGGCGAGAAGUGCGCGGAAUGCGUGGUGUAGCGGUGAAAUGCAUAGAUAUCACGCAGAACUCCGAUUGCGAAGGCAGCGCACCGGCGCCCUACUGACGCUCAGGCACGAAGGCGUGGGUAUCGAACAGGAUUAGAUACCCUGGUAC
rnacentral:rRNA from 1 species